AGUGGGGAAUCUUAGACAAUGGGCGCAAGCCUGAUCUAGCCAUGCCGCGUGAGUGAUGAAGGCCCUAGGGUCGUAAAGCUCUUUCGCCAGGGAUGAUAAUGACAGUACCUGGUAAAGAAACCCCGGCUAACUCCGUGCCAGCAGCCGCGGUAAUACGGAGGGGGUUAGCGUUGUUCGGAAUUACUGGGCGUAAAGCGCACGUAGGCGGAUCAGAAAGUUGGGGGUGAAAUCCCGGGGCUCAACCCCGGAACUGCCUCCAAAACUCCUGGUCUUGAGUUCGAGAGAGGUGAGUGGAAUUCCGAGUGUAGAGGUGAAAUUCGUAGAUAUUCGGAGGAACACCAGUGGCGAAGGCGGCUCACUGGCUCGAUACUGACGCUGAGGUGCGAAAGUGUGGGGAGCAAA
rnacentral:rRNA from 1 species